GCCUACGGGAGGCAGCAGUGAGGAAUAUUGGUCAAUGGGCGGAAGCCUGAACCAGCCAAGUCGCGUGAGGGAAUAAGGCCCUACGGGUCGUAAACCUCUUUUGCCGGGGAGCAAGGGCGGGGACGUGUCCCGGCCCGGAGAGUACCCGGAGAAAAAGCAUCGGCUAACUCCGUGCCAGCAGCCGAGGUAAUACGGAGGAUGCGAGCGUUAUCCGGAUUUAUUGGGUUUAAAGGGUGCGUAGGCGGUCGGAUAAGUUAGAGGUGAAAUCCCGAGGCUCAAAUUCGGAAUUGC
rnacentral:rRNA from 1 species